AUGUGGUGAUGACUCUCCUGCGCUGUGCCCCAGAGUGUGACAGAGCUGCUGCUAUGAUGUGGAGAAGCAUCGGCUCCUCGGGAACAGCAGUGGAGAAGGUGCUGCCAGUACUGCUCCGAGUGAUGGAGGAUUGGCCAGUGCAUGGAAUGUCCACCUCCGAUGGUGACAGCAGAGAUGUCUUUGCCGUGACUGCAACCCUGGCACUGUGGCUGAUCAUCCAGGAGCCC